UACGUAGGGUGCAAGCGUUGUCCGGAAUUAUUGGGCGUAAAGAGCUCGUAGGCGGUCUGUCGCGUCGGCUGUGAAAACCCGAGGCUCAACCUCGGGUCUGCAGUCGAUACGAGCAAACUAGAGUGUUGCAGGGGAGACUGGAAUUCCUGGUGUAGCGGUGAAAUGCGCAGAUAUCAGGAGGAACACCGGUGGCGAAGGCGGGUCUCUGGGCAACAACUGACGCUGAGGAGCGAAAGCGUGGGGAGCGAACAGG
rnacentral:rRNA from 1 species